GGUUUGAUCCUGGCUCAGAUUGAACGCUGGCGGGAUGCUUUACAUGCAAGUCGAACGGCAGCACGGACUUCGGUCUGGUGGCGAGUAGCGAACGGGUGAGUAAUGUAUCGGAACGUGCCUAGUAGCGGGGAUAAUCGCGCGAAAGCGUAGCUAAUACCGCAUACGCCCUUCGGGGGAAAGUUAGACCUUCGGGCCUCGCACUAUUAGAGCGGCCGAUAUCGGAUUAGCUUAGUUGGUGGGGUAACGGCUCACCAAGGCGACGAUCCGUAGCUGGUUUGAGAGGACGACCAGCCACACUGGGACUGAGACACGGCCCAGACUCCUACGGGAGGCAGCAGUGGGGAAUUUUGGACAAUGGGGAAACCCUGAUCCAGCCAUCCUGCGUGUGCGAUGAAGGCCUUCGGGUUGUAAAGCACUUUUGGCAGGAAAGAAACGGCACGGUAUAAUACCCCGUGCAACUGACGGUAUUCUGCAGAAUAAGCACCGGCUAACUACGUGCCAGCAGCCGCGGUAAUACGUAGGGUGCAAGCGUUAAUCGGAAUUACGGCGUAGCGUGCGCAGGCGGUUCGGAAAGAAAGAUGUGAAAUCCCAGAGCUUAACUUUGGAACUGCAUUUUUAACUACCGAGCUAGAGUGUGUCAGAGGGAGGUGGAAUUCGCGUGUAGCAGUGAAAUGCGUAGAUAUGUGGAGAAACACCGAUGGCGAAGGCAGCCUCUGGGAUAACACUGAUGCUCAUGCACGAAAGCGUGGGGAGCAAACAGAUUAGAUACCCUGGUAGUCCACGUACCUCAAACGAUGUCAACUAGCUGUUAGCCUUUUCUGCCUGGUAGCGCAGCUAACGCGUGAAGUUGACUACCUGGGGAGUACGGUCGCAAGAUUAAAACUCAAAAAGGAAUUGACGGGACCCGCACAAGCGGUGGAUGAUGUGGAUUGUUCGAUGCAACGCGAAAAACCUUACCUACCCUUGACAUGUCUGGAAUCCCGAAGAGAUUUGGGGAGUGCUCGCAAGAGAACCGGAACACAGGUGCUGCAUGGCUGUCGUCAGCUCGUGUCGUGAGAUGUUGGGUUAAGUCCCGCAACGAGCGCAACCCUUGUCAUUAGUUGCUACGAAAGGGCACUCUAAUGAGACUGCCGGUGACAAACCGAGGAAGGUGGGGAUGACGUCAAGUCCUCAUGGCCUUGGCGGCAGGGCUUCAUACACGUCAUACAAUGGUCGGGACAGAGGGUCGCCAACCCGCGAGGGGGAGCCAAUCCCAGAAACCCGAUCGUAGUCCGGAUCGCAGUCUGCAACUCGACUGCGUGAAGUCGGAAUCGCUAGUAAUCGUGGAUCAGCAUGUCGCGGUGAAUACGUUCCCAGGUCUUGUACACACCGCCCGUCACACCAUGGGAGUGGGUUUUACCAGAAGAGUUAGCCUAACCGUAAGGAGUGGCAGAUUACCACGGUAGGAUUCAUGACUGGGGUGAAGUCGUAACAAGGUAA
rnacentral:rRNA from 1 species